UACGGAGGGGGCUAGCGUUGUUCGGAAUCACUGGGCGUAAAGCGCGCGUAGGCGGACUGUUAAGUCAGGGGUGAAAGUUUGGAGCUCAACUCUAGAAUUGCCUUCGAUACUGGGAGUCUUGAGAUCGGGUGAGGUGAGUGGAAUUUCUAGUGUAGAGGUGAAAUUCGUAGAUAUUAGGAAGAACACCAGUGGCGAAGGCGGCUCACUGGCCCAUAUCUGACGCUGAGGUGCGAAAGCGUGGGGAGCAAACAGG
rnacentral:rRNA from 1 species